rnacentral:rRNA from 1 species
GCGUGAGUGAUGAAGGUUUUCGGAUCGUAAAGCUCUGUUGUUAGGGAAGAACAAGUGCCAGAGUAACUGCUUGCACCUUGACGGUACCUAACCAGAAAGCCACGGCUAACUACCUGCCAGCAGCCGCGGUAAUACGUAGGUGGCAAGCGUUGUCCGGAAUUNUUGGGCGUAAAGGGCUCGCAGGCGGGUUCUUAAGUCUGAUGNGAAAG